rnacentral:rRNA from 1 species
UACGGAGGGGGCGAGCGUUAUUCGGAAUUAUUGGGCGUAAAGGGCGCGUAGGCGGCCUGAUAAGUCAAAGGUGAAAUCCCUCGGCUCAACUGAGGAAUUGCCUUUGAAACUGUCAGGCUUGAGGCCGGGAGGGGGUGGCGGAAUUCCCAGUGUAGAGGUGAAAUUCGUAGAUAUUCGGAAGAACACCAGUGGCGAAGGCGGCUCACUGGACUGGUAUUGACGCUGAGGUGCGAAAGCGUGGGGAGCAAACAGG